rnacentral:lncRNA from 1 species
GGAGGGGGGCAGACGCUAGGAAUUUAUCCGCUGAGGGGGAGGGGCGGGGGCGAAGGGGAAGGGGCGCGUGGGUGUUACCCCGAGCAACUUGACUGUAACUUGCCGAGUGGAGAGCGUAACCCAGCAGCCCCUCCGGGCUGGGGAGGGACAACGUCAUCCCAAGCCCCCGCCUAGGACUCUCCCUUCUACACCGUUUGGUUGCCCAGGAGAGGGACAGGGCAGAGCCCAGCUGGGACUCAGAGGGUUUCACUGAGGGGGUGGUCAAAGGCGCCUAAACUCCCAGGCUGAAACCAAGCUCCUCCUCUCUCCAUUUUCUCUCCUUUGUUGUCCGGGGCCAGUGUCUAGGGACUUAGCUGGGGCUAGUCGCGGGUCCGUGCCCAACUCCUCUCAGUACAAAUCCUUCCCAAUACCCCAUCUCCACCCCCUAGCAGUGGGCAAAGCUGGCGCUUCCACCACCGCGGAAUAAUCGAAUGCUUCUCUUUUCUCCUCAGUUUCAGAGGGCUCUGCGCUACCUCCCAAGGAUAAGCAGGAAGAUGCCCCUGGCUAAAAUCCCACUGGGGCUCAGGGGUCCGGGGUGGACGAUGGAGGAGGAAGGAGACCACAACAGAGCUGGGAAUUAAAUGCACCCUCUGUGACCCGUCUGCCAGUUAAUUUCUGCUUCUCCAUUCCCGCAAACUAGGUAAUGCUUCGUCUCCAUACCUUCCUAGUAGGGGAGCAAAGCAGGAAGGAAGAUCAAUAUAGAUUCCUCGGGGAAUCUUGGUCCUGAAAGAGAUGCCCAUGUUCAUGUUCACCUUAGUAAAGAAGCCCUAGUCCUUAAAUAAGCCCCCGUUUCCCAUUAUACCUCCCACCCCAUCUCUCCCUACAACUCUCAGCUUCCCAGAGGGCGAACCCGAGGUCCCAAAGGACCUCAGAGAAGUUCACAACAUGGGGAGGGGGAGGCAUGGAAUUUAUCUUUUCCCCUUUUCUCCAACUCAGUUUCAACACAGACCCUUUUCCCCUCUCGUCUCUUCUCUUAAAGCCCACCCUACCCGUAAAGCGAAAACCCUUCAUCUGCGCCGCUGGAAAAUUACAGCAGAAAGUCAAAAAAGUAUUUUCCCAGCUACUGGAAAGAGGACUCAAGGGGGAGGGUACUCACCGCCCAGCAGCUGCUUGCAGCUGCUUCUCCUUUCUCCCUCCUACUCUCCUAAACACCUAGUUGGAGGGCUGCAGCUGCGGCCAGGGACUAGGCAACGUCGUGGGCUCCCGGUGCCCCCCAGCAACAGCUGCUGCUGCUGUGGCUGCUGCAACCUCUUUCCUCUUCCCGGGGAGCGUAGAGUCUCUCAGCUCUCAUACAAACCAGCCUCCCUUACCCGCUCGGUGCUCGGCAACCCAUGA